GACGAACGCUGGCGGCGUGCCUAAUACAUGCAAGUAGAACGCUGAAGGAGGAGCUUGCUUCUCUGGAUGAGUUGCGAACGGGUGAGUAACGCGUAGGUAACCUGCCUGGUAGCGGGGGAUAACUAUUGGAAACGAUAGCUAAUACCGCAUAAGAGUAGAUGUUGCAUGACAUUUGCUUAAAAGGUGCAAUUGCAUCACUACCAGAUGGACCUGCGUUGUAUUAGCUAGUUGGUGAGGUAACGGCUCACCAAGGCGACGAUACAUAGCCGACCUGAGAGGGUGGUCGGCCACAAUGGGACUGGGACACGGCCCAGACUCCUACGGGAGGCAGCAGUAGGGAAUCUUCGGCAAUGGACGGAAGUCUGACCGAGCAACGCCGCGGGAGUGAAGAAGGUUUUCGGAUCGUAAAGCUCUGUUGUAAGAGAAGAACGAGUGUGAGAGUGGAAAGUUCACACUGUGACGGUAUCUUACCAGAAAGGGACGGCUAACUACGUG
rnacentral:rRNA from 1 species